AGAAUUAAAUUUAAAAUUUAAUUAUUAAUUAAAUAAAAUUAAUAAUUAAUAAUUUUUAAUUUUUAUCUUAAUUUAAAUAAAUAAAAUAAUAAUAAAAUUUUUAAAUUUUAGUAAUAAAUAUAAACUAAUUUAAUUAAUAAUAAUUUAUAGUAUUGUAAAAGAAAUAAAAUAAUAAUUUAUUAAAUAUACAGAUAAAUUAAUUUUUUUUACCUUUUGUAUCAGGGUUAAUUUAAAAUAUUUAUAUAUAAUAAAAUUUUCGAAAUUAAUUGAGUUAAAAUUUAAUAUUAAUUAAUAUAUUAUAAUUAUUAAUAAUUAAGUUUUAGAAAUUAUAUGUUAUUCAUAAUUAAUAAUAUCUAAUUUUUUAAUAAAUGAAUUUAAUUCAUAAAAUAAUUUUUUAUACUAAUAUUUAAUUAAAUUAAAUAAAUAAAUAAUUUUUUUAAAAAUUUUAAGGGAUAAGCUUUAAAAUUAAUAUUAUAAAAUACAUUUAAUAUAAAGUAUAUUUAAAAUAUAAUUUAAAAUUUUAAUUUUUUGUAAAUAUUUAAUAAUUUAUAAAUUAAAUAAAUAAUAAUUUAAAUUUUUAAUUUUUAAUUUUUUUUAUUAAAAUAUAAUUUAAAAUUUUAAAUAAUUAAUAAUAAUGAUUAAAUUAGUAAAUAUAAAAUUUUAUAUUAUAAAUUAUUUUAUAAAUUAAAUUUAUGAAUUAAGCAAAAUUUAAUAUUUACCUGUUUAUUAAAAACAUGUCUUUUAAAAAAAUUAAUUAAAAGUCUAAUCUGCUCAAUGAAAUUUAAAUUAAAUUUAAUUUAAAUAGCUGCAGUAUUUUAACUGUACUAAGGUAGCAUAAUAAUUUGUCUUUUAAUUAAAGACUAGAAUGAAAGAUUUAAUAAAAUAUUAGCUUUAUUAAUUUAAAUAAAAAUUAAAUUUUAUUUUUAAGUAAAAAAUCUUAAAUAUAAUUAUUAGACGAUAAGACCCUAUAGAACUUAAUAUUAUUAAAAAUUAAAUUAAAAAAUUUUUAUUUAAUUUAAUUUAUAUUAAUAUUAAAUUGGGGAUAUUAAAAAAUUUUUAAAAUUUUUUUUUAAAAAAAAUAUUUAUAGAUAAAAAUAUUAAUAUAAAAGAGUGUUUUAUAAAAAAUAUUAGAAUAAGUUACCUUAGGGAUAACAGCAUAAUUUUUUUAGAAAGUUCAUAUUAAUAAAAAAGAUUAUGACCUCGAUGUUGAAUUAAGAAAAAUUAUAAAAGAAGAUUUUUAUAAAUUAAGUCUGUUCGACUUUUAAUAUCUUACAUGAUUUGAGUUAAAAUCGGCGUAAGCCAGAUUGGUUUUUAUCUUUAAUUAAAUUUUAAAUAUUUGUACGAAAGGACUUUAUUUAAUAAAUAAUAAAAAUUAAUAAUAAAGAAUAAAU
rnacentral:rRNA from 1 species